CCCAGCCAAAAUUGGUUCGCUCCGCUCGGGUUUUUUCCAUACAGGGGCUAAAAAUCUUUUCUGUACGCAUGUGUCUUGUGUAGGCUGCGGUUGGCUGAUGGUCCCAUCCGUCAUCGGAUGAGCCAAUGAAGUGAGCCUCAAGAUCCACUUCCCGCCCUUCGGUGGGGAGCCCUGGGAGUGGAUUUGGGUCUUUGUCCGCACUCAUAGCCGUGUGGACCAAGCGGUUGAGAAAGCAGCUUGGGAGCGGGCAGGAAGCUUGCUCACCCGCUGGCGACCGACUGCCUUAUUUGCUGUUAUAGCGGGGAGGGUGAAUGAGAGAGUGAAAGGAUGGAGAGUCUCCUCUUCGCGAAUACUAAACCAAUUCAAGGUCCCCACCCGGCACUGGGUGGCAGCGCUGGGAUUGGGCACCAAGGCGCCGAGGCCAGCCUCCGCUUCCAGCCGAGGGCGGUGACUAGGGCAACCCAUUUUACACAUGAAGUGACUGAGUCUUGAAGAAGUUAAGGUACGCUCUAGGCUGAUGUCUCACAAGUCUUCUCUUGUCUCUGGCCUAGGCAUUGGCCUGAGCCCCAGCUUCAUUCAUCCAGCUGCCUACCAGGUAGUUCCUCUGGAAUAUCUUCCAGGUAUCUAGUAAAGAAGUGUUAUCUCUCCUUAUCAAAAGAAAACCAGUGACCUCUAGGGUUGCACCGGGUCCACCACACCUGACUGUGCAGUUACCCCUGGGGAGCAAAACACUCCUCUCUACUUUCGAUGCCCCAAAGAAUGCAUCAGUGAGCUUUCCCUUUUUCAAGGUUAGCACAAGCCUUGUGAGUCAAGGGACUUCCCUGGUGGUCCAGUGAUUAAGACUCUGCACUUCCACUGCAGGGGCGUGAGUUCGAUCCUUGGUCGGGGAACUAAGAUCCCAGAUGUGGUACGGCCAAAAAAAAAAAGACUAAUGAGUCAAGCAGGCCUUUAAUGAAGUUAGGAGAUCACAGAUAAAUACAUUUCUGGUUCUUCUGAUCUAUACAACUCAAACUCUUAUGCAGCUUGGGGCCCUUUAUGAGUCUCUCCUUGCCCCGCCCUCCAACCUUUUUCCAUGGUCCUUGGAGUUCCCAUGUCCCAAAGACGACGACUUCACAGGUGACCAACACUAUGAAUGGCUUCCCUCUUCAUAAAAACCUUCUCUCUACCCAUGGGGUGACUUCAUCCUGCUGGCCUGGACAGGAUGACCAUCUAUCAAUACCAUACGAGGGCUUCCACGUACACCUCCAACUCGGUUCAUCUGAAACGAAACUCAUCUCCUUCGGACGUACCUGGUGGCCUCGUCUGGCGCCACAGCACCACCAUCCAGUCAGCAGUACAAGCACGUGUUUGAGAGUCGUUGACUCGCCUCCCUUUCCUUCGUCCUCUACCCUCACCAGGCAGUUUCCAAGUCCUGUUAUUCUACCUCUUAAGUAUUUACUAAAUUCAUCCUCUCACUUGCAAAGGACCCUGACUGGACCUCAAUUCUGCCUGCCUUCCAACUGGUUCUCGGCAUUACUGUCUGAGGGAGCUUAUACUGGCAGGAAGCUUUCUGAAGUGCAAAUCUGAUCAAGUCCCUCCUCUAUUUAAAAUCCUUUGAUGACCAAAUAUCUCCUGCAGAAUAAAACCCCAAUUAUGGCAAUCAAGGUCCUUCACAGUGAGGUUUCCGCCUACCUCUUCAGCUUUCUCUGCUAUACCUUUGACCCAUACCACAGUAUUUGAUUUCCUGAAUGCACCAUUUUCUCUCCAUACUUUACACGCUAUUCCGGCUACCAGGAAUGACUUCCCUGCCCUCAUUUGUACAUGUCUUCCAAAUCCAGCUCAAAUACCUCCCCUAAGUAGCCUCCCCUGAUCUGUACUGGCUCGGAUUUCGGUGUGCCUCCUCCUCUGAUCCCACAGCCCACUUACAGCCUUCCUACAUGUCAUUUAAUGCAGCCUGCUGACUCAAGUGUUAACUGUUGCUUCACUUCUCUCUUGUCCCCGCUUAACUGUGAGUUGAGAGGCAGGAGCUGUCUUGUUCCUCUCUAUAUCUCCAAUACCUAACAAAGAGUUUCACACACAGCAGGUGCUUAAUAAGUGUUUGUUGCAUUUAAGACAGGAGGAUGGCAUGACUGAAGACUCAAAGGGUCUGUCAAGGAAUGGACUGUACUGCCUGGUUGCCCUAGUGGCCAAGGGAUGUGCAGUGGAGUUGCAUGGACUACGCCUGGAAAAGAGGUCGUGUCAGUUCUUUGAAGGCCCUGGGAGCCCUGCCCAGGAGUUUGGGCUUAUUUGGUGGGCAGUAGAGAACCAUGAGGUGCUGGCUGAUCAGUGCUGUGCCAAAGAUGGGAGGAUGGAUUAGAGAAGGCGAAGGCUUGGUUUAGAGAAAACAGGUAGCUGUUAGCUCUGUCUUACAGUUGAUGAAACAGUGGCUUGGGCAGAUGGUGACUACCCAAGGCCACACAGCUGGUAAGCAACAGAACUAGGAGUGGAACAAGUUCUGGACUAUGCCAAGUCCAGAGAUCUUUAUACCACACCACAGCGGGUAUGCAGUAGAUGGGGCUUCAAGGUUGUCCCAAUGUGAAUGGAUACUCCAUUAAUCAGGAUAGGAUAGGUUAUAUUGCAGACACAAUUCUGAAAUCUCUGUGGCUUAACAUAACACACUUAUUUGCCAUUCACACAAAGUCCACUGUGGCGCUGGACAUCACCUUAAGGCAGCUUAGCCAUCCAGGCUGCUUUGACAUGCUUCCACAGUUGUUGCCACGAUAGGGAAAGAGCACUUGGAGAAUCACAUACCAGCUUGAUUUUGGAAGUGACACACAUUACUUCCAGUACGGUCCACUGGCCAGAACUAGUCUGAUGACCUCACUUGACUACCCAGGGACUGGGAAAUACAGUCUUCUAUGUGUCCAGGAAGCGGAAGAGGGCAGGAAAUAUUUGUGGGCAAUAGUAAUGCCUACCCAGGACAUCAGGAGCCGAUGCCUAUAGAGAAGGAGGGGUGAGGCCAAACAGUCUUGAGUGUAUGAAAUGUGCAAAGGAGAGAGGUUUUGCUCAGGAUUUGUGUUAGGUCAAGGCUGUUCUAGUCACAGGCAGCCAGCAGGGGAACCUCACCCGGAGGAUAGUACCUUCUUAACCCUUUCCUGCUCAGCAUCUUUCACCUCUGCUCCAGCUGAGGGAGAAGUGAAGCAAAAUCUGUAAUGACCCUGAGAGGGAGGCAGGACUGGUACAGAUGACCGCAGUUUUCAGAUGAGGAACCCAAGGAAUGAAGACAUUCUGUGAUGUGCCUGCAUGUGCAGCAACCAAAGCAUCAAAACCACGGAUCCCUCCUCUGGCUUCUAACCAGACAACCCUCCUGAGUCCUGGGGCUGCUUCUGCUUCUGACAGAGCACCUGGAAGAAAUUCUCACCUGAAAACCCCACCUCAGACAUCUCGAGUGUCCGCCCGGCAGGCUAACCGCCCUUCUUUCCUGCUGAGGUGGAGCUCUGGACUCCCACCCUGGCAGGGCCACACGAUCCUUCCUUCCCCUCCUCAGCCGACCGCACCAAAGAAACCAGAACCCAGGCCGAAGUAUCAGAAACGUGUAUUCUUUUUCUUUUAAUAGUAAACCUCUUUACAACAAAUAUAGUGAAAGAGUUUUCAAACAAAACUCAUAAGAAUCUCGAGGACUUUGUCUUUUCUUAUUGUGUAGAAUACUAAGAAAGCAUCACCAUACAGCACAAAAAGAAAUAUUGAAAACAAAUCAACAGUCACACACUUGGACUCGCCCUCCCCAGGACCCAGGAUGAGCCCUAGGAGUGUGGGUGAUUGUCGGGUUUGAGGA